UCUCUUCGAUGCUGUGGAAUAUCACCACGAAAUAACCAUCAUUGUGGUAAAACACCUUCGGCUUCUGCACAAACUACCAUUGAGUGGCAAUAAAUCGUUCAAUAGCUCCUAUAGAAGAUGUAUUGCCCACUACAUACAUAACUAUGGCCCUUAACCACAUAGUAUCUUCUACUUCUAUGUCCCCGUCAGUAAGCUUAACAACGACCUCCCCUUUUUGUAGUAGAGGCGGUAUAUAAGUGAGGUUCAUACCCUUGGCAGCCAGUUUGUUAACAUCGAAUAAUCUUGCCUACACCUUAUCUCCCUUAUUUGAAGUUGUAUUCCCUUCUCGCGUCUCGUUAAUAGAGGCAUUUCUCUCAUUCCAUUUUUCUAUUUUUUUUGGUAUUACCACCUCAUCUAUCGGUGCUUUUCUCGAAAGGAUAUUGCUUAUGUUCACUGAUUCUGUUGUCGGGGAAGAGUUUUCACCCUCACCCAAAGCUCUUCGUGGUAUGGAUAGAAUGACAUUAUUACUGUGCAAAGUUGGCCAAGAUUCUUCCUCCUCGGUGUCAACCACUAUGGUUUUUCUUCGUCUUUUCCCAUAGCCGGGCUAUUCCAUUUCACAAUACUAGUAGACUCUCCGAUCAUCUUCCUUACCUCAUUAAUCUUGGUUG
rnacentral:lncRNA from 1 species